rnacentral:rRNA from 1 species
UCACGCUGGCGGCAGGCCUAACACAUGCAAGUCGAGCGGAUGAGAAGAGCUUGCUCUUCGAUUCAGCGGCGGACGGGUGAGUAAUACCUAGGAAUCUGCCUGGUAGUGGGGGACAACGUUUCGAAAGGAACGCUAAUACCGCAUACGUCCUACGGGAGAAAGCAGGGGACCUUCGGGCCUUGCGCUAUCAGAUGAGCCUAGGUCGGAUUAGCUAGUUGGUGAGGUAAUGGCUCACCAAGGCUACGAUCCGUAACUGGUCUGAGAGGAUGAUCAGUCACACUGGAACUGAGACACGGUCCAGACUCCUACGGGAGGCAGCAGUGGGGAAUAUUGGACAAUGGGCGAAAGCCUGAUCCAGCCAUGCCGCGUGUGUGAAGAAGGUCUUCGGAUUGUAAAGCACUUUAAGUUGGGAGGAAGGGCAGUAAGCGAAUACCUUGCUGUUUUGACGUUACCGACAGAAUAAGCACCGGCUAACUCUGUGCCAGCAGCCGCGGUAAUACAGAGGGUGCAAGCGUUAAUCGGAAUUACUGGGCGUAAAGCGCGCGUAGGUGGUUCGUUAAGUUGGAUGUGAAAUCCCGGGCUCACCUGGGAACUGCAUCAAAACUGGCGAGCUAAAGUAGGGCAAAGGGUGGUGGAAUUUCUUGUGUACCGGUGAAUGCGUAAAUAUAGGAAGAACCCCGUGGCAA